CUGAGUAGUAUUAGUUGUGUUCUUGAAACUUAAAGAAUUUGGCGGUAUCCUACUCCGUUCAGAGGAAUCUGUCUCGUUAUCGAUAGUCCGCGUUGGACCUUGCUUAGGGUUAAUUUUGGUUUGUAUACCGCCGUUUAUUGAUUAUCUUUUUAGAGUAUCUUGAAUUUUCUGGUUUCUUUAAUUUGAUUUAUUGCAGGUCAAGGUGCAGCUUUUUCUAAGUGUAAUGAUGGAUUACAGUGGUAUGUGUUGUUUGGAUUGUUUGUUUAAAUAUGGGCAUGAAAUUGGAUUUGGUUGUAAUGUUUUGUAGAUUGUUUUCAUGAUAGUUGGUUCUAGGAUAUGUACACAUCGCCCGUCGCUCUCAUUUAAGUUUUUGAUGAGAUAUCGAAAACCCAUAAAAAAA
rnacentral:rRNA from 1 species